rnacentral:rRNA from 1 species
AACGCGAAGAACCUUACCGAGGCUUGACAUCGGAGGAACAUCCUAGAAAUAGGGUUUCGGAGCAAUCCGACUUCCAGACAGGUGCUGCAUGGCUGUCGUCAGCUCGUGCCGUGAGGUGUUGGGUUAAGUCCCGCAACGAGCGCAACCCUCGUCGUGUGUUGGUCCGCAAGGAUCUCUCACGCGAGACCGCCGGUGAGAAGCCGGAGGAAGGUGGGGAUGACGUCAAGUCAGCAUGGCCCUUACGUCUCGGGCUACACACGUGCUACAAUGGGUAGGACAACGAGUCGCAAACUAGUGAUAGUAAGCUAAUCUCUUAAACCUACCCUCAGUUCGGAUUGAAGGCUGCAACUCGCCUUCAUGAAGUCGGAAUCGCUAGUAAACGCAGAUCAGCUACGCUGCGUUGAAUACGUUCCCGGGCCUUGUA